UGAGGAAUAUUGGGCAAUGGGCGAAAGCCUGACCCAGCAACGCCGCGUGGAGGAUGAAUGUCGUAAGAUUGUAAACUCCUGUUAGAGGGGAAGAAUAAUCCCGAUCGACUCGGGACUUGACUGUACCCUCAGAGAAAGCUCCGGCUAACUACGUGCCAGCAGCCGCGGUAAUACGUAGGGAGCGAGCGUUGUCCGGAUUUACUGGGUGUAAAGGGCGCGCAGGCGGGUUGGUAAGUCAGAGGUGAAAUCCUACAGCUUAACUGUAGAACUGCCCUUGAUACUGCUAAUCUUGAGUAUGGAAGAGAGAGACGGAAUUCCAGGUGUAGUGGUGAAAUACGUAGAUAUCUGGAAGAACACCAGUUGCGAAGGCGGUCUCUUGGUCCAAUACUGACGCUGAGGCGCGAAAGCGUGGGUAGCAAACAGGAUUAGAUACCCUGGUAGUCCACGCUGUAAACGAUGAAUACUAGGUGCUGGGUCUUUAGAUUCAGUGCCGCAGCUAACGCAUUAAGUAUUCCACCUGGGGAGUACGAUCGCAAGGUUGAAACUCAAA
rnacentral:rRNA from 1 species